GAUGAACGCUGGCGGCGUGCUUAACACAUGCAAGUCGAACGGAAAGGCUCCUGCUUGCAGGGGUACUCGAGUGGCGAACGGGUGAGUAACACGUGGGUGAUCUGCCCUGCACUUCGGGAUAAGCCUGGGAAACUGGGUCUAAUACCGGAUAGGACGAUGGUUUGGAUGCCAUUGUGGAAAGUUUUUCGGUGUGGGAUGAGCUCGCGGCCUAUCAGCUUGUUGGUGGGGUAAUGGCCUACCAAGGCGUCGACGGGUAGCCGGCCUGAGAGGGUGUACGGCCACAUUGGGACUGCGAUACGGCCCAGACUCCUACGGGAGGCAGCAGUGGGGAAUAUUGCACAAUGGGCGCAAGCCUGAUGCAGCGACGCCGCGUGGGGGAUGACGGCCUUCGGGUUGUAAACUCCUUUCGCUAGGGACGAAGCGUUUUGUGACGGUACCUGGAGAAGAAGCACCGGCUAACUACGUG
rnacentral:rRNA from 1 species